rnacentral:rRNA from 1 species
CACGUAGGGUGCGAGCGUUGUCCGGAAUUAUUGGGCGUAAAGAGCUCGUAGGCGGUGUGUCGCGUCGGCCGUGAAAACUUGGGGCUUAACUCUGAGCCUGCAGUGGGUACGGGCAGACUAGAGUGUGGUAGGGGAGAUCGGAAUUCCUGGUGUAGCGGUGGAAUGCGCAGAUAUCAGGAGGAACACCGGUGGCGAAGGCGGAUCUCUGGGCCAUAACUGACGCUGAGGAGCGAAAGCAUGGGGAGCGAACAGG